rnacentral:rRNA from 1 species
GGGUUGUGAGGUUAAGCGACUAAGCGUACACGGUGGAUGCCCUGGCAGUCAGAGGCGAUGAAGGACGUGCUAAUCUGCGAUAAGCGCCGGUAAGGUGAUAUGAACCGUUAUAACCGGCGAUUUCCGAAUGGGGAAACCCAGUGUGAUUCGUCACACUAUCAUUAACUGAAUCCAUAGGUUAAUGAGGCGAACCGGGGGAACUGAAACAUCUAAGUACCCCGAGGAAAAGAAAUCAACCGAGAUUCCCCCAGUAGCGGCGAGCGAACGGGGAGGAGCCCAGAGCCUGAAUCAGCAUGUGUGUUAGUGGAAGCGUCUGGAAAGGCGCGCGAUACAGGGUGACAGCCCCGUACACAAAAGCGCAUGUGCUGUGAGCUCGAUGAGUAGGGCGGGACACGUGGUAUCCUGUCUGAAUAUGGGGGGACCAUCCUCCAAGGCUAAAUACUCCUGACUGACCGAUAGUGAACCAGUACCGUGAGGGAAAGGCGAAAAGAACCCCGGCGAGGGGAGUGAAAAAGAACCUGAAACCGUGUACGUACAAGCAGUGGGAGCACCUUUGGGUGUGACUGCGUACCUUUUGUAUAAUGGGUCAGCGACUUAUAUUCUGUAGCAAGGUUAACCGCAUAGGGGAGCCGGAGGGAAACCGAGUCUUAAUUGGGCGUUAAGUUGCAGGGUAUAGACCCGAAACCCGGUGAUCUAGCCAUGGGCAGGUUGAAGGUUGGGUAACACUAACUGGAGGACCGAACCGAC